ensembl:ncRNA T06F4.6 ncRNA
UGGAGAAAAUGGUCAGAAACUGAAUAAACAUGCAAACUAUGUAAGCAGUGUGUGAUGAGCAGUCUAAACACGAUGAGGGAUAACGCGCUUCUCUUCAUCUAUCGGCGGCUCUUUGUUACUUGGUGCUCUUUAGGUGUCAUGGGGAUUC